rnacentral:tRNA from 1 species
GUUCUUAUAGUUGAAUAACAACGUGGUUUUU